GCGUAGGGUGCGAGCGUUAAUCGGAAUUACUGGGCGUAAAGUGUGCGCAGGCGGCCGCGCAAGUCGAGUGUGAAAUCCCCGAGCUUAACUUGGGAAUUGCGCUCGAAACUACGUGGCUGGAGUAUGGCAGAGGAAGGUGGAAUUCCACGUGUAGCGGGGAAAUGCGUAGAGAUGUGGAGGAAAACCGAUGGCGAAGGCAGCCUUCUGGGCCAAGACUGACGCUCAU
rnacentral:rRNA from 1 species